CUCGAAUUCUUUUAGUAUUCGACUAGUGGUUGUCGAACUCAUUGGCUACCAUGAAACACGUACUUUGCUUUUUGGUAAUCUUGGCACUGUUUGCAUGCAUGUUUGCUAUGCCUGCUGACGGUGACAAAAAAGAUCCGCCCACGCCACCAAAGUCGCCGAAUGCGAUGGCCUACUUUGGAAAGGCCGUGGCCGACUGGACCACCGGCAUGGAAAAAUUAAUACCUGGUAACUGGUAAUAGAAAGCAGCUGUAAGUAAUUUAAUAUGUUAUAGUACAAAAUUAAACGGUUAGAAGAUAUA